AAAGAGGAGGAGAGAGUUGAACGGAUUUACUGGGCGUAAAGGGCGCGUAGGCGGCGCGGUGUGUCGGGUGUGAAAUCCAUGGGCCCAACCCAUGAAGUGCGCCCGAAACUGCCGCGCUGGAGUGCGGGAGGGGAGGUCGGAAUGCAGGGUGUAGCGGUGAAAUGCGUUGAUAUCCUGCAGAACACCGGUGGCGAAGGCGGACCUCUGGAUCGCAACUGACGCUGAGGCGCGAAAGUCGGGGGAGCAAACAG
rnacentral:rRNA from 1 species